rnacentral:rRNA from 1 species
UGGGGAAUAUUGGACAAUGGGCGAAAGCCUGAUCCAGCCAUGCCGCGUGUGUGAAGAAGGUCUUCGGAUUGUAAAGCACUUUAAGUUGGGAGGAAGGGCAUUAACCUAAUACGUUAGUGUUUUGACGUUACCAACAGAAUAAGCACCGGCUAACUUCGUGCCAGCAGCCGCGGUAAUACGAAGGGUGCAAGCGUUAAUCGGAAUUACUGGGCGUAAAGCGCGCGUAGGUGGUUCAGCAAGUUGGAUGUGAAAGCCCCGGGCUCAACCUGGGAACUGCAUCCAAAACUACUGAGCUAGAGUACGGUAGAGGGUGGUGGAAUUUCCUGUGUAGCGGUGAAAUGCGUAGAUAUAGGAAGGAACACCAGUGGCGAAGGCGACCACCUGGACUGAUACUGACACUGAGGUGCGAAAGCGUGGGGAGCAAACAGGAUUAGGAUACCCUGGUAGUCCACGCCGUAAACGAUGUCGACCAGCCGUUGGGAUCCUUGAGAUCUUAGUGGCGCG